AUUUGUGCUUGCACAAGAUGACGACCGGCGCACGGGUGCGCACCGCGUAUGGAACCUGCCUUGUACAGGGGAAUAGCCCAGGGAAACUUGGAUUAAUGCCCCGUAGUACCGUGACCCGGCAUCGGGAUACGGUUAAAGCCUUCGGGCGGUACAAGAUGGCCAUGCGUCCCAUUAGCUUGUUGGUAAGGUAACGGCUUACCAAGGCUACGAUGGGUAGGGGCCCUGAGAGGGGGAUCCCCCACACUGGUACUGAGACACGGACCAGACUCCUACGGGAGGCAGCAGUGAGGAAUAUUGGACAAUGGAGGAGACUCUGAUCCAGCCAUGCCGCGUGCAGGAAGAAUGCCCUAUGGGUAGUAAACUGCUUUUAUACGGGAAGAAAAAGAGCUACGUGUAGCUUACUGACGGUACCGUAAGAAUAAGGACCGGCUAACUCCGUGCCAGCAGCCGCGGUAAUACGGAGGGUCCGAGCGUUAUCCGGAAUUAUUGGGUUUAAAGGGUCCGUAGGCGGGCCGAUAAGUCAGGGGUGAAAGUCUGCCGCUCAACGGUAGAACUGCCUUUGAUACUGUCGGUCUUGAGUUAUAGUGAAGUUGCCGGAAUAUGUAGUGUAGCGGUGAAAUGCAUAGAUAUUACAUAGAACACCGAUUGCGAAGGCAGGUGACUAACUAUAUACUGACGCUGAUGGACGAAAGCGUGGGGAGCGAACAGGAUUAGAUACCCUGGUAGUCCACGCCGUAAACGAUGGAUACUAGCUGUCCGGAACCUUGAGUUCUGGGCGGCCAAGCGAAAGUGAUAAGUAUCCCACCUGGGGAGUACGUUCGCAAGAAUGAAACUCAAAGGAAUUGACGGGGGCCCGCACAAGCGGUGGA
rnacentral:rRNA from 1 species